ACUUAGAAUAAAAAAAAAGAGGCUUGAAUAUUAAUAGUUAUUUUCUUUAAAAUCAAAGAAUUUGGCGGUAAUUUAGUCUUGUUAGAGGAACCUGUUUUAUAAACGAUAAAUCACGUAAAAUCUUACUUGUUUUUGUAAAUGUCAGUUUGUAUACCGUCAUUAUUAGAUAAUUUUGGAAAAAAUAAUUAUUGAGAUUAAUUAUUAAAAACUUAAAUAUAUUAGAUCAAGGUGCAGCUUAUAAACAAGUAAAAAUGGGUUACAAUAAUAUUUAAUUAGAUGAAUAAUAAGAAGAAUAAGUGUUUGAAGGUGGAUUUAAUUGUAAAGAUAGUUUAAUAAGCUAUUUUGAUAUAAGCUCUAAAUUAUGUACAUAUCGCCCGUCGCUUUCAUUUAAAAU
rnacentral:rRNA from 1 species